rnacentral:rRNA from 1 species
UACGUAGGUCCCGAGCGUUGUCCGGAUUUAUUGGGCGUAAAGCGAGCGCAGGUGGUUUAUUAAGUCUGGUGUAAAAGGCAGUGGCUCAACCAUUGUAUGCAUUAGAAACUGGUAGACUUGAGUGCAGGAGAGGAGAGUAGAAUUCCAUGUGUAGCGGUGAAAUGCGUAGAUAUAUAGAGGAACACCGGUGGCGAAAGCGGCUCUCUGGCCUGUAACUGACACUGAGGCUCGAAAGCGUGGGGAGCAAACAGG